rnacentral:lncRNA from 10 species
GGCUUCUCCUCUUCUGCCAUGCGAGGACACAGCAUUCCUUCCCUUUUGCUCUUCUGUCCUUUCCACCACCUGAGGACACAAGUGUUCCUCCCUUCCAGAGGAUGCAGCAACAAGGUGCCAUCUUGGAUGCAGAGAGCUGCCCUCAACAGACAACUGAACCUGCCAGCAGCUUGAUCUUGGACUUCCCGGCCUGCAGAACUGUGAGAAAGAGAUUUCCAGUUAUAAGUGACUUAGUCUCAGAGGCUGCCUAAUUCCGGAUGGAUUUGAAAGAGUGUUGGUUUUCAGAUUCUCUGCCCCCACUCGUCAACCUCUCAGUUCAGGACCUCCGGUCCAGAAACAAUCACUCAUUUGCUACGUAAAAGGAGGCUGGAGCAAUCCUCCAAACAAUCUCGAGCCUAGAGAGAUUGGAGCCAUUGCCUGCUGAAGUGCCAUCAGCCACGAAGCUACAACAUCUCCACGCUGAGAACCACAGUCAGGGGGAGGACAGGAUUUGACUUUCAUGCUAUCUGAACUCCAACCCUGCCAAUGCACAAAGAGGUACUUGCGACUUUUCAGGAACAUGCCAGUCUCAUCAGGAAUGACGCACCUGUUUUUCCUCUCUCAGUCUGGCCUGUCUUGUGAUGACUUUAAAAGCCCAAACGUAUGCUCCGGUGGGGACCCUGCUGGCAAUGCCCCUCCACUGCUCUGUGGUCCUGCAUGUGUCUCUUUGUCUGCCCAGCCCCCCAUCCCAGUCGCCUUCUCCAGGGCCCUGUGCUGUCUCCAGUGCCAGCUUUGCUGCCCUGGGAUACAUCAUGCUCUGUCUGGU